CCAUAUUAUAACUAAUAAAAUAAGUCAGAGAAGCAACAUUCCGUUCUGCAAAAUGAAAUAUUAAACUAUGAACAGACCUGGCAGGUUAAAUAAGACAGUUGAGAACAUUAUGCAUUUAACAGCCCAUAAAGCUAUCCAUUGAAAAAUGUACUUUAACAUGAAGCAAGAUAAACUCACGGAAUUCAACCAAUUUCCCUUAACAUCCUCUAACCAUUAAUCACUUUCCUCCUCUUAUACAGACAUAACAACAUCGCAUAUUCCCCUUAACAAGCUACAAGCUACACCUUCCUAAAUCCCGUAUUCAACACUGAAUGCAAUCUUGUGAGCUCGUCACUCCCACAAUCCUCAGUACCUUAUCUCAAAAAUUAAUUUAAAAAUAUAUAUAUAGCACUACGGAAUCUGUUGGCGCCAUGCAAAUGGCAACAAUAAUAAUAAUAUUACACAAUUAUAGCUCCAUAACCUGCCUGACAACGUCUAUGUAUGGAACAAUGUACACAAUACUACACAAUUAGAAUAUUUUCUCUCUAACUCUUAUCAGUAGCUCCGAAAUGCAGAAAUGUAGGCAAGCGGGGAGUAGGGGUGGGAGAAAGUGUGACAGUGCAAAAAAAGGGAGAGAGAGAAACUGCAGGCAUGAAGAUUAACCAUGUGAGCUCCGUAAAGUAACAAGACAGAAGGACAGAGAUUUAUACGUUUGGAAACCAGAAAUCUUUGCUAACUUUUUCAUUUUCAGCAUAGCUUCUUCCCCUGCCCUCUCUUUAACAAUAUCACAAGCCAAAUACCCCUUAGCUGGUCUAGUAUGUACUUGCCCCUUUUUGACCAAGCGAGGUCUGCCAAGUAAAGGAGACCAAGUGAGAGGGAAGAAGAAGUAGGAAAGUCUACAGUGCUCGACUGACUAGUCACGAUGGUCUGUGCACCCGGGGGAGGUGGCCACAGACCGGAGGGGGCGAGCGUGGGUGACUAACACAGCUCUGGGCAACAAACACAGGAGAGAUAAAGGACAAAUGAAAAGAUGAAAGUGGUUACACUAACGAGAAGACAUUUGCAAAAAUCACAAACAUAGAGAUGAGUGUAAACCCCAGAAUCCAGAACUAGCCACACUAUAUACAUACACACACACACACACCAAGGGUACCCACACUGUAACAACAAUUAAACAAAAAACCACAGAAUGACAGAGAGUAAAAUAGCCAUGUACAUGUUAAUGACACCGGUGCCAAAUAAUCGAAGUAUAGCAAUCCUCAGCCUUCACCCACCAGGCUGGUCCCAGUAUAACACAGGUACUAAUGAGAGCACAGUAAUAAACAAACAAAAUCCCAGCCCCACCGGCUGUAAUGCGUUCCCUGCCCGCUAGGCAGUCAAGCAAACUUAAAAUCCCAGCCCCACCGGCUGUAAAAUCCCAGCCCCACCGGCUGUAAAAUCCCAGCCCCACCGGCUGUAAAAUCCCAGCCCCACCGGCUGUAAUGCGUCCCCUGCCCGCUAGGCAGUCAAGCUAACUUAAAAUCCCAGCCCCACCGGCUGUAAAAUCCCAGCCCCACCGGCUGUAAAAUCCCAGCCCCACCGGCUGUAAAAUCCCAGCCCCACCGGCUGUAAUGCGUCCCCUGCCCGCUAGGCAGUCAAGCUAUUGUCUUUUAAAAAGGGGGAAAACACACACUCCGGCCGUCACACACAUUCAAACAAAUACAGGAGGCAGAUAGACAAUCGACAGGUUCACUUUAAAAAGGUACCCCGGAUGAGCUAAAUACCUGUCUCUAGUAGCCUUCUGGAAGCCGGAAGUGGACUCGGAGACAGACCGACACAAAACAGGAGAAUAACACAGGCAACGGCUGUAUUAUGGAGGUGAUCAGGCUCCGCUUGUCCCAUUUUCUGGGGGUCCGCUCUGGUCCUUGGUAUCCGGCCCUCCGAACCGGCAAAUCCGGGGGCCCCACGUUAUGGCGCCAAUUGAAAUGGAAAAAUCAAUUAAAGUAUUGAUUAUUUCUUUGUGUAUCUGCCCCUGGCCAAAUCAAUGAAACAAUGCGUGCACGCUCCCUGAAGUAAUUCACACCAGACACAGGUUCCAGGUUGUUGAAUAACUUGAGGAAAGUUUAUUCAGAGGGGACGGCAGGUCCCUUUUAAAGCAAAAUUACAUCAUAAGCAUUGUCAGAGAUAACAUGGAAUAAUACAUCAAUAAUUGGUCAAGUGUUAAGUGUUUUAUUCAAAGCACGUCCUACAGGGUGUGCCUUCUUAUGUCAUUACUGUCGUCAUGGAGUUCUCCCCCAGGAUUCCAGCGCCAUCUUGAAAAUUAGAGUGUUUGGUCGAUGGGUGGGGUACUCCUGAGUGACAUCUAGUGGUCAGUUUAGUAAUUUAUUGAAUAAUAUUAAGUAUAACUAAAUGAAGUAAAUAGACAUUUUACUAGCUAAAAAUAUGUCAAUAUUUCAUGUCACCAGGUCCAUGAGGGUCUCCCACGGUUUCCCGG
rnacentral:lncRNA from 1 species